GACCCUUAGGAGCUUUUCAUAUGGUUAAAUUAAGAUAUUCACUUGCACACAUCUACCACACCAUUCAUCACCAAUCAUUAAAAUUGCUAAAAAAUAUUAUUAUCACUCACUGCCACAAGUGUUGUUAUUCUCUCUCCAAAAAGAUUCAAUGCAGAAGAGGCAUGGGUUAUGCAAAAAUAUGCGAGGAAAUAAAAAGGGGCAAGUGCCCAGAACCUCGGAAAAGAAAGAAAAAGAGUGAGAUGAGAGGUAAAAAUGGACAAGUGUACGGAGUAGAAUUAGGGGUACAAAGAUGCCCACUUGAGCGGAAAAAAAAUAGACAAGUGUCCAACAGUAGAAUUAGGGGUAUCUACUACCCACCUGAAAAAAAGAGAAGAAAAAGAUAGCCCAUGUUCUCCCAAAGCAAAGAUCAAAAAGAAGAGGAGAGAUAGCAAUAUGAGGAGCAAUGAGAAGUAAGUUUUAUUAUCACUUAUACAUUUUUACCAUUACUAUCAUUUACUCCACCACACAUGCACAUCUUGGUUUAAUUAUAUGCUGAGUUCCUUUGGAUCCAUGGCUCGAUUAGACAACAUAUGUAUGAGUUGUUUUUCACUCCUAUGAGCUCCACUUAAACAUUCCAUUAGCUAUAGGUAAGUGACAUUUUGGUAAGGAUCCACAAAUACCACAUAUAGAGAGACUUGAGAGAAUCAUUGCUGGGAACUAUGAGUUUUAUUUUGAAAACUUAUAAAAAACUCUGGAACAAAGGUGAAGUAUAGACAGGAGGAAUAGUGCUUGACUUAACUAUUUUGUUUUUCGAUUACUUAAGACUUAAGUGCAGGUAUUAAGCUCCAUAACACUUCACUCUAAUCUGGAAGAAUUUUUAUAUAAAAGCAUGUGUGCCUAUCACAAAAGAAAACAUCGAAGCAACUCCUGAUCUCUCUGAGUUUAGCUGUUUGCUCAGGGAUGAGCAAAGGGUAAGCUUGGGGGAGUUUGUUGAUGGUCCUUAAGUACUAAAAUUAAUAAUCAAAUAAACAUAGAAAAGGAUCAAUAUGCAGCAAACAUCUAGAAUUAGGGUUUUAUCUGACAGAAUUCCACGAGCUUUGGUGUUUAUCUAUUUCUGCAGGGGCUUAUCAGAUAAUAUGGAGAGAAGGCCCACAUGUCAUGUUUACAAUGAGAUAAUAACGUGCCACGCAAUUUUCCUCAAUCUAGAAGAGUCCAGAAGCCACGGGAACGAACGAGAACACGAUCGGGCUCGGGGGCAGGGCGCCCGCCCAGGGUUAGAGUCCAAUCAGGACUCUCUUUCGGGACUAAACUCCACUGACCUAAAGGAUGAAUCUAAACCAUACAAUCAAUGUCGGUUUGAUCCAACGGCCCAAAUUCACUUGAAAGGACUAUAUAACCAAGGCCCCUCCACCCCUGGAGGAGAGAGGAGAAGAGAAGAAAUCAUUAUGCAGAGGUAGCCAUCAAAGUUAGGGUUUAGAGCUUCUCUCCCACAGAGAAUUAGAAUUAGCUACUCCCUAAUCCUUCAAGUUUAGAGGUUUGAUUAGAUAGCAAUUAGAGAAGUAGAGCACUACGCUCUGGAUUCGGAUCUUCGGUAAUAAAGAUUGGUAUUAUUCAUAUCUUUCUCUAAUUCUUUGUUCUAAUUGCAUUAUGUCUCUAAUUAUUAUGUUCUUAGUUUGCUCUAGUUCUAUAUUUGAUAUAGUUAUGAUUGAUAAUGAGUUUAUGUAUAAGUUUUCAAAGCGCUUAGCUCUUGACGCGAGGGAGUUAAGUGGUAGAUCACAUGUGAGCGUGGUGCUUAGAUGUUAUUUAUAUGCAAAUGUAUCCUAUUGGCCGGGUUAUGUGGUAGUUUGCGAUAGUGACAGCUUCGUUGAUUCUUAUAUAGUCCACCCUCCAUUGAUAGGACAGGCAGAACUUGUAUUGCGGAGUAAGUCUUGCGAUGUUCUGAUUUACUUUAGCAAUGUUCCUUAUACAUGAAUGAAGAGUCUUUUAUGCUAUAUAUGAUAUUGUAGAUAACUAGAAUAGAUUAUGACUUAGGAGAUAGUAGAUAACUUAGAAUCCAUUCUCUAGCUAAUCCGACAUCACCUACAUAUAUGAGGAGUAGUCUAUUUUCUAUUGGCUGUGUUAUUUAUCCUUGAACUUAUACUUCAUUAUCAUUAUCAUUAUGGUUUACCCCCUGCCAAAGUAAGUGACUGUGUGAUGAGUUUCUCAUUAGUAAUCAUGUUCUUGCAAGUUUAUCUCUAGUCUAUGCCUUGAUAGAUUUAGUCUUUAUUUUCAUCCCUUUUGUUCUCUUAAGCAGAAUUAUAAAUAACGAUACCUGGAAUACUUAUCCUGGUGAAAUGCUACAAUGAGGUGUUUUAUCUGUGCGCUUGCGGAUAGAAUAGAUUAUUUUCUAGAGAGCCUUUACAUUUAUAAAUACCUUUGUACACUCAGGCACCAUGCUGGGGAUGACAACCUAGUAUCUAAGUGGUGUUAGCUAGUGUCAACAAUACCAUAUCCCCACCAAUUAGGAGGAACAGACCCUGACAUUGCUGAUGCUAAUAAAUCUGUAGCAAGCUUGACUUGUCCCUCUGAUGUGGAUGGAUUGGUCGUCAUCAGUGUAGAUUGCGCAUUAGUAAUCCCUAAUGUGCUUGGGGAAGAAGAAACUUCUGUACCAGCAACGGCCGUAGUAGCCGAUGGAGCCGUAACCGAUGAUGCUCCUGGCUGAUGAUAAGCUGGGCCCACAUAAGAUGGUGGUACUUGUCCUUCUUUGUAUGUUCUAGCCACAACAUUGAAAACUGUACUGGACAGCACACUGGAUUGAUUGAUUAGAGCAUGAUUAAUACCACUGUCAACCAUCUCUUAUAAUUUACCAGGAUUGGCUUCAAAAGUAAUUUGCUGAUGCAUCGGCAAUGCUUCCUUUUGGAUCACUUCGCCACUCCUGUUGAUGCUGAAGGAUUUCAAGCAUAGCUGCUUGUAGUCCUCCAUAGCUUGCUUAUGUUCAUCUCUGAGAUUGGCUUCCGUCACGGGGAUAACGUUCUCCAUGUCGAAAUCGGUGUUCGACAUGUUGAUCUUGAUGUUGAAUCUCUGUCCCACUGGGCGUGCCAAAAGAUGUGUUGGUGCAAAAGUGAAUCUGCAGACACAAAGGGCUAAUACCAGAUUCAAACGUUAAGGCAUGCCAGCCAAUUUGACCUUACAAUCGACAGAGGUGGUAACUCGAACACUUUAGUCCCGACAACAGCGAUUCGCCCGGAUGUCACGGCCAAGAGGUGUUCACGCGGAACUCAAGAACUCGUCGAGAUUGACUCGAAGAAUCCCUAAGAACUCGUAAGUAAAAGGAAAAAUAUGCAGAGUGAUGAAGUCGUCGAAAAGUAGAUGCUAUAAUAUGUGUAAAAACUUUUGUUUGAUUGAUUGUGUUAUUCUUACAUCACUACAGGGCCUUAUAUUUAUACCCUGCCCAAAAGGUUUACAACCAGACACGACUAGGACUCGAAUUCCAAAUUAAACAGAAUCCGUAUACAAAACAAACUCUAUUAACUAUGGAAAGUAUUAAACCAUUUUCUACAACCGAUCGGUACACCACAGCGAGUCGAUCAACAACUCCUGCGCUUUUCUCCAUGAUCAUCGGCAAACCACUUACCAUGGUCAUCGGCAGCCAUCAGCACCAGUCAUCAGCACAAAUCCAUCACCACUCCUGGACUUAGCCAUAUCCUAUCGCUUUCUCAUCGGCACCAACCCUUAUCGGCAACUCUUCUGUAGACUAGUCAUCAGUUUUCCGCCUGCCGAUCUAUACCUCAUUAACUCCAGAUACGCGUCCAAAGAUACGUGUCCAAAAACGGUGUCAACAAUAAGAUACCCACUUCGCCUGUUACUCAUUUGGUUUAUCAUUGGCUUAGUAUACCUAGUCUUCAGGGACCUAUCGGUUGUACUUCACUCAUCACUCGUCUAGCUUCUAGUCUUAAUUUGCUAGAAAACUCGUCAUUGGAAUUCAUUGAUGAGUUACCAAUUUAUCAUGGCUAUGACACAUUUAGGCAAGCUCGGAUGCUGAAAAAAGAGGGGAACAUAAUGUAUAUGUUAUACGAUAAUAAAGGCAAGAUUCGGUUACCUAACCCGAACCUUGGCCUCUAUGUCGUUCAAAAUUAUUUGAUUGAGAUUGCAGUGGCACUAGUAAACCAGAGAGCUCCACAGCGAGUGUCAUCCGACAGGAUGACCACCCAUCAAGAACGCACCUGGUAUGGAGCUGAUCCCGGGCCGGAAGAAGCAGCGCACCUGCAUUACCGCGACUACAACCCUCGAGUCCUUCGGGACCCGUGGGUUCGACAUGCUCAGCCGCAGGAGCCAACACAGGAGACGUGGCCGGAGGGCCAAGAUCACCAGUGGGCAAACCCGCCUUUUAGUGCGGGCAGGUACUCCACUGAUCCGUAUGGAGCUUCAGGGUCUAGGCCCCAGCCCCAAUUCGAUGUAGGACAGUACUCUGAUGCCUCUUAUGCUUUCACGAACGACUACUGCCAAGAGGCCGGCGCCUCCUUCACCCGCACCGACAACACCCUCCUCAGCAUCCAGAAUACGCAAGCGGAACAUGGAUGACUCCUGGAGGAACAGCAGAAAUGGAACCAGGAGCAAGUCGCUACAGUGCAAGGCCUGAGGCAAGACACUACUUCAAUGAGCGACAACAUCUCUGCCAUAAUGCGAUUCAAGAACAUUAGGUAAGACCGACAACCACAUCCAGCUUGGCAGAGUUCCUCCCUGUUUUAUCAAGUAAGUUUUUAUUUGCUCUUCUUAUUUAUUCUUUUCCGUUUUAGUGUUUUAUUUAUUUCAAAAAAAUCAUCAAUAUAUAUUUUCUUGCUUUAAUUUACUGCAUUCUAUAAACAUGAAAACAAAAUAAAAAGAGUGUGUAGAUAAGUGUGUUUUAUUUAUCUACUAAGUGUUAAUCUCUAGAAAAAUAAAAAGACCAAAAUGAUGCAUGAUGAAAAUGAUAAACAGUUGCUCUGUUUGCUUACUUUCAAGUACCUAGCUUUUGUAUUAGAGUUCUCCAAGGAAUUACUAAAACUGAAAUUUACUAUCUAUUGGAAGCAUGAACCUAGAACUAAAGUCUAGGUAAGAGAAGGACAUGAUAUAAAGUUUGAGCUACUGAUUAUCCUGUUUCUACUACACUAAGUUCUGGAGAUUUAUUUUGAAAACUUGCAAAUCACAUGAUGAGUUCCUAGCAUGAUGAAAAUCCCUACCACAACCAUACCUGCUACAAUUUCUAUAUCUUUUGCUACUUAUAUUCACAUUGAGUUCGAUCGAGCUGUGUAGACCCUUAGGAGCUUUUCAUGUGGUUAAAUCAAGAUACUCACUUGCACAGAUCUAUUAUACCAUCCAUCACCAUUCAUAAAAAAUCUGCUAAAAUAUUGUUAUCACUCACUGUCCCAAGUGUUGUUAUUCUCUCUCUCCAAAAAGAUUCAAUGCAGAAGAGGCAUGGGUUAUGCAAAAAUAUGUGAGGAAAUAAAAAGGGGCAAGUGCCCGGAACCUCGAAAAAAAGAAGAAGAAAAAAAAGUGAGACGAUAGGUAAAAAUGGACAAGUGUCUAGAGUUGAAUUAGGGGUACAAAGAUGCCCACCUGAGUGAAAAAAAUGGACAAGUGUCCGACAGUAGAAUUAGGGGUAUUUACUACCCACCUGAAAAAAAGAGAAAAAGAAGGAAAAAAAAGAGAUAGCCCAUGUUCUCCCAAAGCAAAAAUCAAAAGAGGAGGAGAGAUAGCAAUAUGAGGAGCAAUGAGAAGUAAGUUUUAUCAUCACUUAUACAUUUUUACCAUCACUGUCAUCUACUCCACCACACAUGCACAUCUUAAUUUAACUAUAUGCUG
rnacentral:lncRNA from 1 species